GUUGAACGCUGGCGGCAUGGUUAAGGCAUGCAAGUCGAACGCGAAAGCACCUUCGGGUGCAAGUAGAGUGGCGAAAGGGCGAGGAAUACGUUCCUACGUACCCCGAGGUCAGGGAUAGCCCAUGGAAACAUGGAUUAAUACCUGAUGUGGUCUCCGGAUCAAAGAUUUAUCGCCUCGGGAGCGGGGAACGUCCUAUCAGGUUGUUGGUGAGGUAACGGCUCACCAAGCCGAAGACGGGUAGCGGGUGUGAGAGCAUGACCUGCCGCAUCGGGACUGAGACACUGCCCGG
rnacentral:rRNA from 1 species